CCUACGGGUGGCAGCAGUUUCGAAUCAUUCACAAUGGGCGAAAGCCUGAUGGUGCGACGCCGCGUGAGGGAUGAAGGUCUUCGGAUUGUAAACCUCUGUCACUGGGGAGAAAACGCUAUACGUUAACAGCGGAUAGCCUGAUUUAACCCGGAGAGGAAGCAGUGGCUAACUCUGUGCCAGCAGCCGCGGUAAUACAGAGACUGCAAGCGUUAUUCGGAUUCACUGGGCGUAAAGGGUGCGCAGGCGGCCGUGUGUGUCAGGUGUGAAAUACCGGGGCUCAACCCCGGAACUGCGCCUGAAACUACAUGGCUAGAGUAUUGGAGAGGGUAGUGGAAUUCACGGUGUAGCAGUGAAAUGCGUAGAUAUCGUGAGGAACACCAGAGGCGAAGGCGACUACCUGGACAAUUACUGACGCUCAGGCACGAAAGCGUGGGGAGCAAAAGGGAUUAGAUACCCCAGUAGUC
rnacentral:rRNA from 1 species